rnacentral:rRNA from 1 species
GACGAACGCUGGCGGCGUGCUUAACACAUGCAAGUGGAGCGACGAACCAGGGCUUGCCCUGGGGCAAAGCCGCGAACGGGUGAGUAACACGUGGGUAACCUGCCCCGACAACCGGGACAACUCGAGGAAACUCGAGCUAAUACCGGAUGUGCCCGCCCCGCAUCAGCGGGGUGGUGUAAAGGAAGCUUCGGCCUCCGUAUCGGGAGUGGGCCCGCGGCCCAUUAGCUUGUUGGUGAGGUAACGGCUCACCAGGGCUACGAUGGGUAGCUGGUCUGAGAGGACGAUCAGCCACACUGGGACUGAGACACGGCCCAGACUCCUACGAGAGGCAGCAGUGGGGAAUCUUGCGCAAUGCGCGAAAGCGUGACGCAGCAACGCCGCGGUGGGGGAAGAAGGCUUUCGG